rnacentral:rRNA from 1 species
UACGUAGGUGGCGAGCGUUGUCCGGAUUUACUGGGCGUAAAGAGCGCGCAGGCGGUCGGAUUAGUCGAAUGUGAAAGCCCCCGGCUCAACUGGGGAGGGUCAUUCGAUACUGUUCGACUCGAAGGCAGGAGAGGGAAGUGGAAUUCCCGGUGUAGUGGUGAAAUGCGUAGAUAUCGGGAGGAACACCAGUGGCGAAGGCGACUUCCUGGCCUGUUCUUGACGCUGAGGCGCGAAAGCUAGGGGAGCAAACGGG